AUUGAACGCUGGCGGCAUGCCUAACACAUGCAAGUCGAGCGGAUGAAGGGAGCUUUCUCCUGGAUUCAGCGGCGGACGGGUGAGUAAUUCCUAGGAAUCUACCUUGUCUUUGGGGCUAACAUCAGUACACGGGACCUAAUCCCACAUACGUCCUGAUGUUGAACGGGAGGGUUCUUCGGACCUCGACCUACCUGAUGACCCUAGUUCAUAUUUCCGAGCUGGAUUAGCUAGUUGGUACGGUAACGGCUUACCAAGGCUACGAUCCGUAGCUGAUCUGAGAGGGUGAUCAGUCACACUGGAACUGAGACACGGUCCAGACUCCUACGGGAGGCAGCAGUGGGGAAUAUUGGACAAUGGGCGAAAGCCUGAUGGAGCAACGCCGCGUGUGUGAAGAAGGUCUUCGGAUCGUAAAGCUCUUUUAGUUGGGAAGAAGAGAAGUAAGUUAAACCGUUGAUGUCUUGACGUUACCAAAACAAUAAGCCCCGGCUAACUUCGUG
rnacentral:rRNA from 1 species